rnacentral:rRNA from 1 species
AACAGGAAGCAGCUUGCUGCUUUGCUGACGAGUGGCGGACGGGUGAGUAAUGUCUGGGAAACUGCCUGAUGGAGGGGGAUAACUACUGGAAACGGUGGCUAAUACCGCAUAACGUCGCAAGACCAAAGAGGGGGACCUUCGGGCCUCUUGCCAUCAGAUGUGCCCAGAUGGGAUUAGCUUGUUGGUGAGGUAACGGCUCACCAAGGCGACGAUCCCUAGCUGGUCUGAGAGGAUGACCAGCCACACUGGAACUGAGACACGGUCCAGACUCCUACGGGAGGCAGCAGUGGGGAAUAUUGCACAAUGGGCGCAAGCCUGAUGCAGCCAUGCCGCGUGUAUGAAGAAGGCCUU